GGUGAUUCAUAGUAACCGAACGGAUCGCAUUAUGACCUUCGGGUCGGCGAUGGAUCAUUCAAGUUUCUGACCUAUCAGCUUUCGACGGUACUGUAUUGGACUACCGUGGCAGUGACGGGUAACGGGGAAUUAGGGUUCGAUUCCGGAGAGGGAGCCUGAGAAACGGCUACCACAUCUAAGGAAGGCAGCAGGCGCGCAAAUUACCCAAUCCUGACUCAGGGAGGUAGUGACAAGAAAUAACAACACUGGAAAUUCUUUUUCUAGUGAUUGGAAUGAUGGGAAUCCAAACCCCUUUCAGAGUAACAAUUGGAGGGCAAGUCUGGUGCCAGCAGCCGCGGUAAUUCCAGCUCCAAUAGCGUAUAUUAAAGUUGUUGCAGUUAAAAAGCUCGUAGUUGGAUAUCUGCUGGAAGCAGCCAGUCCGCCCUUUGUGGGUGUGCACUUGGUGAAUUCUGGCAUCCUCCUGAUUGGUGUCAUCAUCACUUCAUUGUGUUGGUGGCAGCUGUCAGGACCGUUACUUUGAGAAAAUUAGAGUGUUUCAAGCAGGCUUGUUGCCUUGAAUACUGCAGCAUGGAAUAACAAGAUAGGAUUUCGGUUCUAUUUUGUUGGUUUCUAGGACUGAAGUAAUGAUUAAUAGGGACAGUUGGGGGCAUUCGUAUUUAACUGUCAGAGGUGAAAUUCUUAGAUUUGUUAAAGACGAACUACUGCGAAAGCAUUUGCCAAAGAUGUUUUCAUUAAUCAAGAACGAAAGUUAGGGGCUCGAAGACGAUCAGAUACCGUCGUAGUCUUAACCAUAAACUAUGCCGACUAGAGAUAGGAAAAAGUCAUCCUUGACUUCUCCUGCACCUUAUGAGAAAUC
rnacentral:rRNA from 1 species